GCGAGUAUGCUGUAAUUGGUAGCCAGGUGAUCGUUAAGUGAUCAAGGUAAUAAUACCGUGCCGGUUCGAGUCCGGCUGCUCGUA